rnacentral:lncRNA from 1 species
AAGUAAGGGAGCUACCAUUUGAUUUUUAUGGGGGGGGCUAGGAUGAAAAAUUUUGUCCUGCAUUUUUUUUUAGUUGUAAUGUCUGUCCUGCCUUUUUAUUUUUCACUCUAUUCGGUCCUGCCUUUUUUUUUAAAGUUUAUCCUGACUUUUUUUACCUAAAUUGUCAUCCUGCCUUUUUUUUUUUUGCAAGUGUCUCAUCCUGCCUUUUUUUUUUACUCAGAAUUCCUGUCCUGCCUAUUUUUUUCAAAUUUCAUCCCCCCCCCCAUAAAAAUCAAAUGGUAGCUCCCUAAUGCACAAGAGCUGGGAGAAAUCAACAAAAUAAAAAUAAAAUAAAAUUCCGCGAAAGUCUAUUAAUUUUUUUGGCGCAUUUAAUUCAUUUCAAAACAUGGCGUCAUACAAAUGAAACCGCUUAAGUUGAAAGUUUUCUGUUAUGUGAACCAUCGAAAUUCGUAUGAUAUUGUAUUAAAACUGAUUUUUGAGGUAGGUUUUGUUUUAUUUUCUAUUCUAUUGCAUUAUUUGCAUAUUUACUAAUUUCAGCAAGUCAACAAGGCCGCUCCUUAGUUACGAAAUGUCAACUUUGGAUUUGAAGGAAUCUUACGAGAAAAUCAUGUAAAUCAAAAAUGCAAAUGUUGGGUUUGAGA